rnacentral:lncRNA from 1 species
AAGGCAGGUCAUUGUUCAAGGUGGAAAGGAGGCAUGAGCAAAUACACAUGGAUAAGAAAUGGUGUGAUGGCAUGAGCCCAGGAGUUCAAGACCAGCCUGGGCAACAUGUUGAAGCCCUGUUUCUACAAAAAAUACAAAAAUUUAGCUGGGCACGGUGGUGCAUGCCUGUAGUCUCAGCUACUUGUGAAGCUGAGGUGGGAGGAUCACUUCAGCCCAAGAGGUUGAGGCUGCAGUGAGCCGUGAUCGUGCCACUGCACUCCAGCCUGGGUGACAGAGUGAGACCCUGCCUCAAAAAAAAAAAAAAAAAAAAAAAAUAGAAAGAAAGAAAUAGUAUGAUGUAUGCAGGGAAAUGCAGGGAACAUGGAGUGGAGUAAGUAUCACUGCUCACUUAAAACUCUGGGCAGAGAAGGGUAGAGAUUCCGCUAAAGAGCUGGGCAGGAAUGUGGUUGUGGGACACUAGCACCCAUUGGAAGAUGUUCAAACACCACCUUGGAGCAAAUGGGAAAAGUUUUUGAGCCAGGAAAGAAUGUAGCCAGAGUAGUAUCAUUGUUAGGUCCCUCUGUCCACAGAGUGGAAAAAGGAUAUGAAAUACUGAAACUAGGAGCAGGGGAGAUUAGUCAGGAGCUAUUGCAGCAGUCCAGGGGAGAGAUAAAGAGCCUCCAAAUUAGCAUUCUGGUUGCAGAGGUAGAGAGAUAUCCAAGGGCAGCUCUGUUUGUAGACAAAAUACUAUUAUAUAACUUAGGACAAAGUAUGACUUUGAGUGACAGAAAAUCCAAACUGUACAAUAGAAGUUUAUUUUCCUCUUAUAUAAACUCUAACUAGGUGGUCCAAGCUCCUUGCACCUUAUUACCCUGCAUGUCUUUCACUCCCAAAUCCACCUUAUGGUUCAAGAUGACCACUGCAGCUCCAUCUGUCACAUUCACAUUCCAGCCAGCAGGAAGGAGAUGAGGGAAGAGCUCAACCCUUCCUUUAAGGACACUUCCUAGAAGUUGUCUAUACCUUUACCACUUACACUUCAUUGGCCAGAACUUGGCCACAUGGCUACACCUAGUUGCAAGGGAGGCUGGGAAAUAAUGUCUUUUUUCUGGAAGCCAUCUCCCCAACCACAAUUCUAUUACUAGGCAAGGGUACAUUGGGCCCUGGAAGCAACUGGUCUUUAUAAGGUAACAGUGGACAUGUGCACUGUGGCCAGACUGACCUGGCUUCCACUCUUUGUUACCUUGGGUACCUCCUGUGAGCCUUGGUGCCUUCAUCUGUAAAUGGAGAUGUAGGAUUAUUGUGAAGAUUUGACAAGAUGAUAGACAAAAAAUGUUUUUAUAAACUGUAAAGUGCUGUCACUUGUGAGAUAUCAUCACUGUGGUUGUAUUCAUCGUGGCCCCAUUGAUGAACCAAGAUUGCUUUACAAGGACUGAAUAAGAGAUACAGAUUUAGAUGCCUCUAUGUCAGUAAAAAUUCUUGGAAUGAGGGAGCGAAAGAGUGAGGUAGGAGAAGGCCUUCUCCUAGACAGAGAGGACUUAGGGAAGGGAGGCUAUGAAUCACAUACUGAGGGGAGCUGCAGGGGUUUCCCAGAAUGGAGUCCAUGUGCUUCUGGAGGAGGCAUCUUCAGCCAAAGCCAAGAGGGUACCUGGAAUCCUGCAAGAGAGUAUGGAGGGACUUGUGUAGCUUCAUUUGUAAUCCACACAUUCCUACCAGCCACUAUCCCAGGGCUUUUCUCCAUCAUCCUGAGCUCACCCAUGCUUCUGCCAUUGGACCAAGCCAGGGUUAAGAACGGGAGCGCAAGGCAACAAUUCCCAGACUUAAUACUUCGCCUCUGUUUUUCUUUUCAUUGGCAAAUGAAAUCAUUUAUUGGUUUUAGCUGAGGUGGCCUCAGUUCUUGCAGUAAUUACUGCUCUGUCAGUAAAUGGAGAGGUUUUGAUUUCACAAAGGUAUGUGUAAAUUGCACGUUUUGCAUUUGCUCAAACUUAAUCAAUACUGUAACAGAAUUAAGAGGUCCAGCAAGACUUGUGAUCUUACCUAAGCUAAUAAAAAAUGAGCCUGCAUAACUACAAAUGGGACCUCAGCUAAUGUAUUUGUAGAUAGCCUAUGACCACAUUUUUCUGUAUUGUAUCAAAUUGUCUCUAGUCUAUUCAGGUAGUGACUAAUAGAGUGUGAGGUUUUGCGGGGAGGGUGCAGUCUCUCAUUGCUGCUACUAAAGGUUUUGUGUCAUCUUCUUUCAUGUCAUCCAAAUUACAUUAAAUUUCAAUCCCAGACCUGGUAAUCUCCCUCGCCUCUCCUACUUUAUUUUUUCUCCUUAGCACUUACCACCUUCUGAUAUCAUGUUUACUUUAUUUAUCUCGUGUAUUCUGUCUCCCCAAACUAUAAUAUAGGCUCUGUUGAAGGGAGGGUUUUUUUUUUUUGUCGGGGGGAGGGGGGUGGCUGGGGAUUUGAUCUAUCUUGUUUACUGCUGUAUUUUCGGGGCUGCAACUGUGCCUGGCUCAAAAAAUUAUUUGCUAUGCGAAGGAAUGAAAUCAUUUGGUAUAAUUGUUGGACAUGCAGUGUGUAUAAUUUCUUUUUUUUAGUUUUUAUUUUUAAUUAUCCAUAAGAUUGAGCAUGUUAGACAUCCAAGGAGGUUUUAAAUGAUCAAUGGUCUUGGUCUGGAGCAUCCCAACUAUACAGGAGACCCCACUUCAGGGAACCCAGAGUCAUUCCUAGCAAGAUGAGAUGGCGUAGACGGUUGGCUUCAAAGGAACCUCCCUUAUGUCCUCAGUCAUUUCUAUGCUACUUGUGGUCUGCGUGGCUCUUUUCAGAGACCUGUCACCCAUCACUAAGUUUUUCUGGACUUGGUGAAACAAUUAAGUGGGUCAAAUCCCUCAGUUGUUCUGGCUUCCAGGGUGGAGAAUUUAGGGAGGAUCACACGGCCACAAGCUGAAAUGUACUUCUCUUUCCUUCAUGUCAGGAUGCUCUGAAGUAAUAAUCCAGCAGUGCUCAGGACUCACUAAUGCAGGGAGUGACAUUCUAACACUGACUGGAGACACCACUGGCUAUCAUGACUUUGCUAACUGAUGUGGCUAAUUCUAAAUUGUUGUUGGUUUGGGAUGUCAGCAAUAUCACGGGAGCAGUCCUAUGGCAUGGUUGACCCAAGA